UAUCUGAAUGGACAGACUUUUUCGGUGACUUACGUUAACUGAUGUCAAAAUACGAGCCGAAAGUGUGCUACAUUCAUUGAACACAUGGCAAGAUUUUCGCUAACAUGACUGGAGUUGGUUAGUGGUCACUGCCACAUAC
ensembl:snoRNA SNORA62 Small nucleolar RNA SNORA62/SNORA6 family